ACAUCAUUUCACCCCGAUGACACCAUGGAUGAGGAGAUGCUGAUUCUAGAAGUCUAGAAGUAGAUUUCCUCCUCUGGAAGGACACAAUCUACUGCUUAUAUGUCUAUGUGUCUGUCUUUAGAGAGACAACUCGUUAUCGUGUGAUUGAACGUGAAUCUGCGGGUUCUUGUGAGUUCUCGCGAUUCCUGCUGUCUGUAAUCUGCCACGAAAUUCGCCUCACAAACUGA